CGGGGCGGGCCUCGCCCUGGGAGCCUGAGUCCAGAAGGCAGGAAGUGCUGGCUCUGAGGACAGAAACAUGGGCCCUGCGGGCUGCGUCUUCCUGCUGCCCCUUCUGCUGGGGAUCUCAGGCACAGAUGAGGAGGAACCAAAGAAUCUCGUGACGUCAAUGUGUGGGCGGCCCGCGGUCUUACCUGGCACUGCCUCAGGCACGGAGGCCAACGUGGGGCAGUGGCCCUGGCAGGUCAGCAACCGCCAGGGCUUGUUUCACAUCUGUGUGGCCACCCUCAUCUGAAAGCAGUGGGUACUGACAGUGGCAAGCUGCUUCUGGUCUAAGGACACCAGAAAAUACAAGGUAUUGGUGGGGUCACUUCAGGUCUCUGGUCACCAAGACUCCAAAACGAUGAUCAUCACCGUGUCCAGGAUUGUUCCGUACCCCGACUUCCAGAGAAAUGCAUCCAGCGCCAUUGCUGUGGCAGAACUGGCCCACCUGGUUUCCUUUGGCCCCACUGUCCUGUCCAUCUGCCUCCCUUCAUCGGCAGUCCAGCUGAAGAACUCAACCUCCUGCUGGGUGACUGGAUGGGGCAAUUCUGGGGUAUCCCAAUGGCAGUAGAGGAGAUCCCCUGACGUGUAAAGUGGAGGAUUUCUGGGUCCUGGCAGGAGUGGUGAGCUGGGAAUCAAACUGCAUCGGAACCAAUGAGCCUGGAGUAUUUACAAACAUCAGUUUCUACAAGUCUUGGAAUGAGAAGUCAGCCAUCUCGCACGCUGACCUCAGGCCGGACUUCUCCGGGCUCUUCCCUGUUGUGCUUCUGCCUCUCAUUUUCCCAGGGCUACCCUAACUGGCUGAGGUCAGUAUGGCCAAGGUGAAGUGGCAAUUAAGAAUGACGGAGAAAGUGGAAAUUCUAGAAGUUGAGGAUUUUGAGGAGAUUCUGAAGCUUCAGCAAGACAGAUGCAGUUCUGCUACCUCUGGGUGCAGCCCCCAGGAGCCCAGUCUGCUUGCUGCCUUGUCUCCUGUAGGUCAACCUGGGAAGCAAGGUCCCCGGCAUGAAUAAAGUUUGGUUGGUUCUAAC